rnacentral:ncRNA from 2 species
GAACGUCGCGCGGGAGAGAUCGCGGGCCUUGCGGCUCGCGGCGCCGAAGGAGCAACCGCCCCGGAAACUCUCAGGCACCCGGACCGCGCGCCGGAU